UGGGCUAGGGGGAAGAGAUUCUUACCAAACCUAAUAAAACUCCGAAUGCUAGACAUUGUUCUUCAACAGACAGACUGUGGGUGCUAAGGUCCAUGGUCGAGAGGGAAAGAGCCCAGACCACCAGAUAAGGUCCCCAAAUUAUGAUUAAGUGUGAAAGGAUGUGGAAAUUCCUUAACAGCCGGGAGGUUGGCUUAGAAGCAGCCAUCCUUUAAAGAUAGCGUAACAGCUCACCGGUCUAAUAGAGUUUCUGCGCCGAAGAUGUAACGGGGCUAAAAUCAUAUACCGAAUCUGUGGGUUUAUAAAACUUUCGAGUUUUAUAAGCGGUAGCGGAACGUUCUGUAAGCCUGUGAAGGGAUACUCGCGAGAGAUCCUGGAGGUAUCAGAAGUGCGAAUGCUGACAUAAGUAACGAUAAAAGAAGUGAAAAACUUCUUCGCCGAAAAUCCAAGGGUUUCUGCGCAAGGUUAAUCCGCGCAGAGUUAGUCGGCACCUAAGGCGAGGGCGAAAGCCGUAGUCGAUGGAAAUAAGGUUAAUAUUCCUUAACCAGAUGGUAGUGACGGAUCUUGUAAGUUGUGAGCUCUUAAUGGAUUGAGUUUGCCGCGAAAAGGUUCCAAGAAAUAGCUCCAUCAUUAGACCGUACCCUAAACCGACACAGGUGGAUUAAUAGAGUAUAUUUAGGCGCUUGAGAGAAUGAUGUUGAAGGAACUCGGCAAAAUGCUUCCGUAACUUCGGGAUAAGGAAGACCUGUUUUUAGGCAACUAGAGAUGGGUGGCACAAGCCAGGGAGAAGCGACUGUUUAUCAAAAACACAGGGCUCUGCUAACACGUAAGUGGAUGUAUAGGGUCUGACGCCUGCCCGGUGCUGGAAGGUUAAUGCGGUUGGUGCAAGCUAACUUCUGAAGCCCCAGUAAACGGCGGCCGUAACUAUAACGGUCCUAAGGUAGCGAAAUUCCUUGUCGGGUAAGUUCCGACCUGCAUGAAUGGCGUAACGAUUUCUCCGCUGUCUCCAACAUCAACUCAGUGAAAUUGAAUUCUCCGUGAAGAUGCGGAGUUCGCGUAGUUAGACGGAAAGACCCCGUGCACCUUUACUGCAACUUUACAUUGGUAUUAGGAAAAACAUAUUUAGUAUAGGAGGGAGACAUUGAAGCAAAGGCGUCAGCUUUUGUGGAGUCACCAGUGAAAUACCUCUUUUGU
rnacentral:rRNA from 1 species